UCUCAGGAUUCCCAGAGGUACCGGGAUUCUUGAGGAGUUGGGUAGGAAACAGGUAUCUACAUGUUCUAGAAGACUUGUUCAUUGGAUAAUCGUCAAUGACUAUAAUUAGGCCUGUCUACAAAGAAGAGGAUUCCACACAAGGAAAAGUGCUCUAAGAUACCAAAAUCACUCAACAGCUUAACCUGACCUGGGUAUACUGAUACUGUGGAGAGAAUGACCCAUACAGGUUUUAGAGGAUAUACUUUCCUUUUGCUGAGAAAAAAUACAGAGAAAAUUUCCCUCCAAGCUUUUUCUAUCUCCUCUAAAGCUACACCAAAACCAGAAGCCUGACCUUUGGAUUCUUCCAUGACCCCAGCAUUCUCAGCAGGUCAACUGAAAACAACAAGAAGAAACAAAGACACCUACAGAAUAAAUUCUGCCUAUUCUGAAUGGGCCAUCUAGUUAGAACUAAAAAAGAACAUUCAAAUAAAUCUGCAUAUAACCAUCAAACUAAGAAGAAGUGGAUAAUGAUCUGAAGAAAAUUUUUCUAUGAAAACAGCACUAAUUCAACUCCCAACUUUCAUUCAGUUCUUUAAGUCCCCCCUCAGUAUUCCAGUGCAUCAAGAAUUUGUUGAUUUAAUUUUCUUGAAGAACUUGAAAACUCUUGAAGAACUCCCAGAGGCUUCUGACUUUCCCUAGACCAAACUACGCCUGCUCUAAGUCUGGUGAAAAGUGAAUGGGCUUUCAGAAAUCAACUUUAUGAAGAAUUCCAAAAGAUAACCACAAAAAGAGUACAAGAUGCCCUGGAGUGUCAAAACUGACAAUGUCUCCACUGUGGUUGUGCAGUAAAUAAUCCUCACAUGAUACCUCUCUAAUGGAUGCAAAGAGAAAGACAGUGGUUGAAGAAAUUAAGAAGUAUAUAAAGACUACCAGUUCUCAGCCUUCUUCCACUUGGACAGAGCCAUGCCACUGAGGUCUAGUGGAGCCUAAAUAAUUGGACGUGGCCCAGGCAGGCUCUUAGUGUCUAAGGGCCCUGUUUUGCACACUCACUGAUCAGGAAAAGGUGAUAAAUACCUGAAAGACCUCUGAUGCUUCUCAUAGCCCUGUAAUAUAGCCUCUUGUAAACAGAAUUUAAGCCAUGUAUCGGGAUAUACUGUGAUUGCAGAAAUGAUAACAUACAUCAUUAGACUGAGAAAGGAGACUCAUCUAAGCAACUGAGAAGAAGAGUGGAAAAGAAUGAAAUAAAAGAAACAAUUGUCAUCUAAUAUGUAACCUCAAAUAUGAGAAAAUUAAUAUUUAUAAUGAAUAAAGAACAAAUAUAUUUGUGUGAGUAUGACUUGACAAAACAUACCACAAACAUAUAAUAUAAUUAAAUAUGCAUGUAAUAGUGAAAGAAAUUAAAACAAAACAAUCUUAGAAUAUAAAUCUUAUUUUAAAAAUGUAUUAAAAAUUAUGUAGUAUGUAAUGUUGAUGAGAAUGUGAUGAAGCUAGCACAUUUAAACAUAGGAGGUGAUGUUGUAAAUUUUUGCAGCUAUCUUGGAAAAUAUUCUGGCAAUAUGUGUGAAAGAAAAUCAUGAUACUCAUAUUUUUGAUAUUAGAAUUUAUCUGGAACAGUUUGAGAAAAAAAGGACCUAAAGUUUUUAUAGAGCCAUGUCUAUAAUACUGAAGCUAUCUCUAACAAUACAUUUCUAAAAACCUGACCAAAAAAGUGAAACCAUGACUCCAGUAAUGUUAUGGUGGUUUAAAUUUUGGAAUGCUAGUUUAAUAAAAGUAUCGUGUAAGCCUUUCAAAUAGUAUCCAUUAAGAAUAUGUAGAAAGUUAUAAUAAUAACUAACAUUAUAAAAAAUUUACUAUUUAUAAAGUGAUUUCAUUUAUUGCAUCUGACCCUGAGGCAAGUAGUCAAAGAGAAUAGUCAAAGGGAGCAUAAUGUAGAAGAUAAGAGCGUGGGUCCUAGAAAUAUACAGGUAUUAUUCCAACCCCAGCUUAUAAACCAUGUAACUUUUGGCAUAUUUUUCAUCCUCUCUCUGGUUCUUGGUUUGUUAUCUGUAGGAAUGAGAAUAAUAAUUAGACGUACUCCUAUGGAAUUCUUCAGAAGAUUUAGAUAAGGCAUUCAGUUAUAGAAAACUUAUUAUUCCAUUGUUCAGAUAAUAAAACUGGCCACCAGAAAAACAUGUAUUGUCUAAUAUGAUUUAUUUACUAAGUUUUAGCAUCAGAAUUUGAUUUCAGGUAACCAGAUAACACAUCUGUCAAAAAUAUGAUAUGCUAUUUUUGUCUGUGCAUAGUAUGUAUUUUGCUGCCUCAACAAGAGAAUAUAAUCUCCUAAAAAAAGCAAAGAAAAGAAAAGAAGAAAGAAAACUUGAGUCAUAUACAUGUUUUAUUUCUUCCAUCCCCUAUUAGUGUGCAAUGAACGUAAUAUGAGUAAAUAACCUUAAAGGAAUGAUGUUCCUUAAAUUAGUAAUUCCCUUGGCACAGGUCUAACAAGAUGACCGAGAUCAUUUAAAGUGCCCCAGUUUGAACUUCCUCAACUUACUUCACUUCGGUACAAAAGUUUUUGUAUUCUUUGGCCCUCCAUCGUUAUUUCUUGGAAAGAUACAUCUGCCACCAGUUUCCUGGUGAUUCAUUGCAUUGCCUCCAAACUAAAAGCAUUAUCAUUCUUUCAGUCAUCUGGUCUAAUGACAUGGCUUAUGAUACAAUAAAAAUGGGAGAUACAAUAUUUCAGCUACAUGAAAUUUACAUGAAAUUUAGGUGCAUGCAGGAAAAAAAAACUGUGAUUAGCAAUCAAGGGAUUGCUAAUUUAAGGUUACGGGCUAAUAUGUCAACUUCUAAUGUUAUUAUUAUUUGGUGCUAUAAAAAUUUGAGAGAAAAAGAAGAAUAGGAAAAGAAAAACAAUGCUGGUAAGGAAAUUAUCCCCCUGCCCCAACUGCCUAUAUAUUUUGUUGUACUGUAAAACAUAUAUUUUUGCAUAAUAAAAAUCAUAGGGCUGGAUAUAUGAUUUAUUUUAACCA